GAAGUAGGGAGGGAGAGAAAGUGGGAGGGAAGGGGAAAAGAGGACUGCUGAAUCAGCACUCCAGUAUGGAUUUUCAGUUCUCCUCCUUCUCUUCUGAAAAACAGCCGUCUGGAUUGCCAUCCCCGGAACACAACACACAGGACCAGAGCUAUUCAUUUCCACAGGACCAGAGCUGUUCAUUUCCACAGGACCAGAGCUAUUCAUUUCCACAGGACCAGAGCUGUUCAUUUCCACAGGACCAGAGCUAUUCAUUUCCACAAGACCAGAGCUAUUCAUUUCCACAAGACCAGAGCUAUUCAUUUCCACAGGACCAGAGCUAUUCAUUUCCACAAGACCAGAGGUGUUCAUUUCCACAAGACCAGAGCUAUUCAUUUCCACAAGACCAGAGCUAUUCAUUUCCACAAGACCAGAGCUAUUUAUUUCCACAGGACCAGAGCUAUUCAUUUCCACAGGACCAGAGGUAUUCAUUUCCACAGGACCAGAGGUAUUCAUUUCCACAGGACCAGAGGUAUUCAUUUCCACAGGACCAGAGCUAUUCAUUUCCACAGGACCAGAGGUAUUCAUUUCCACAGGACCAGAGCUAUUCAUUUCCACAGGACCAGAGCUAUUCAUUUCCAGGCUAAAAUACCUAGGUGUUGCCCACCUCCCCUCCCACAGAGUCCUGCUGGAGUUGGAGAGGAUAGAGAGACGGAAAGAAAAGAGGAGGGAUGGAUGGAGGGAUAUGGUGGCUCAGGGCCAGAGGAUGAGAGGCCUGCCAGAGAGGAGAAGAGCGGCACGAACACGCACACCUCCCACCAGGAAGCAUCAUGACUAUAAACAGUGGCUGAGCCAGGAUGUCAAAGUUGAGUUGAAACAUGAUUAUUAACCCUGACCAUGACAAUCAGAAAUACACAGACACACACACACACACACACACACACACACACACACACACACACACACACACACACACACACACACACACACACACACACACACACAGGAACACACACAUUCACACACACAUACACACAUACACAGGAACACACGAACACAAUGCAAAACAAACUGUGGAAUGUCUACCGGAACUAUAAACAUGAAUUAUGUCCUGAUGUCACGCCCUGACCUUAGAGAGCCUUUUUAUUCUCUAUUUUGGUUAGGUCAGGGUGUGACUAGGGUGGGUACUCUAGUAUUUUGUAUUUCUAUGUUGGCCUGGUAUGGUUCCCAAUCAGAGGCAGCUGUCUAUCGUUGUCUCUGAUUGGGGAUCAUAUUUAGGCAGCCUUUUCCCACGUGUUUGUGGGAUCUUGUUUUUUGUAUUGUUGCCGUUGAGCCCUACAAGGCUGUACGUUUCGUUGGUUACUCUUUCUUGUUUUGUUGCUGGUUAUCAUUAAUAAAUAUGAUUAAACUACC